rnacentral:rRNA from 1 species
GACGAACGCUGGCGGCGUGCUUAACACAUGCAAGUCGAACGGAAAGGCCCUUCGGGGUACUCGAGUGGCGAACGGGUGAGUAACACGUGGGUGAUCUGCCCUGCACUUUGGGAUAAGCCUGGGAAACUGGGUCUAAUACCGAAUAGGACCACGCGCUUCAUGGUGUGUGGUGGAAAGCUUUUGCGGUGUGGGAUGGGCCCGCGGCCUAUCAGCUUGUUGGUGGGGUAAUGACCUACCAAGGCGACGACGGGUAGCCGGCCUGAGAGGGUGACCGGCCACACUGGGACUGAGAUACGGCCCAGACUCCUACGGGAGGCAGCAGUGGGGAAUAUUGCACAAUGGGCGCAAGCCUGAUGCAGCGACGCCGCGUGAGGGAUGACGGCCUUCGGGUUGUAAACCUCUUUCAAUAGGGACGAAGCGCAAGUGACGGUACCUAUAGAAGAAGCACCGGCCAACUACGUG